CCUAGCCGAUCUUCCGCACAGGCUGCUGAUUGAAAAUUGAAUGGUUAGGGUUUAAUUGGAAGUGAAUUAAAAAUCACAUUCAUCUCCUCCCUCACUUCACUUUUUUGGUGUGGAGGUUCCGACCAUCAUGCAUUAUAGCAGGCAUGAUCUGCGCAAGAAGGAAAGAUCCGCAGCUCUCGAUUUUGGGCUCUAAGAUGAAAUGAAUAAGAGGGAACUUCACUUUUCAUGCUAAUUGUGUAGUGACGGCGAAUUAGUGUUGGAAUUUGCAAAUUGUGUUUUCUCCUCUCAGUAGGGCUUUUUGCAAGCAAGUCAGCGAAUAAGAGGGACAAGAAUCCGAAAAGGAGGAAGAAGGGAUUACGAGGGAAUUGGAAAAGUGAUAGCUAUGCGGAAAGCUCAUUUGAGGUUGUUUAUACUAGGCGGAGAGCUCAAGAAGAGAUUUAGGAAACUCCUCGUUGGGUUGCUUUGUCGAUUCAGCUCACUCUAAGGGAUAAUGAUCACCAGCGCGAGUAACCAGGUAGGCCUCAUCUUUUGAAUAACAUGCUCAUGUUUGGAGAAGACUUGGUGGCGUGCAACGCUCUUUUAAGCUGUUGAAAAUAUUUUAAUAUUGCAACAAUUGGUUAACAACAAAGGAUAAAUCUUGCCUUAUUGUAGUCAGAUAUUGAAGAGAGCCAUCCAAAUGCUUAUAUAGUUUAGGAUUAUCACAUAGUUAUUGAUGUUCUGGCAAGAUUUUAGUGGUAGAGGACAGAUGAUUAGAAAGAGUUUUACAUUAACUCAUACCUACUCUUUUUAAUAUAUCCUAUGCAUAGUGUUUUUGAUAUAAAAUGCCAUCUUUAGUAAGGUGAAUAUUUUUACCCAAAAAUGUUGAAACUGUUCCAAGGUUUUUCAUUGUAACUUGCUUUGAAGAUCUUGGAUGAGCUGUUGUAUGAAUAACAUGUUAUGUUAACAAAAUAUCAUCUACUUAUAAUAAUAAGUAUGUGACAACUGAAUUUCGCAGAUAGAAUAGCAAUGACGGCUCAACUUUACUGUA